AUACGAAAGGUGCAAGCGUUGUUCGGAUUUACUGGGCGUAAAGAGAGUGUAGGUUGUUUAUUAAGUCGGAUGUGAAAUCCCGGGGCUCAACCUCGGAACUGCAUUCGAUACUGGUAGACUAGAGUUCGGGAGGGGUAAGCGGAAUUCCGUGUGUAGCAGUGAAAUGCGUAGAUAUACGGAGGAACACCUGAGGCGAAGGCGGCUUACUGGACCGAUACUGACACUGAGACUCGAAAGCGUGGGUAGCAAACAGGAUUAGAAACCCUGGUAGUCC
rnacentral:rRNA from 1 species